rnacentral:tRNA from 2 species
UUUUGUUAUUAGAAAGAUUUUGAAAAUCUUUAUAGAAUAUAACUAUUCAACAAAAU